GUUGGCGUGUGGAAGUACCUCUACUCAGAGUGAUAGAGAAAACUAUGGCUCUGCUUUUACUGAAGGAAUGGCUACCGGAGCGGGCAGCUUUAUGAAUAUAAGGUGAAAAGGAUGUAUGGAGAAGUUUUGGGAGAGUCAGACAGUCCACGGAACUUGCAAUGACUUAGCAAUGAUCUAUGCCAGACGUACAACCCCUGCUGUCAUUGGUGAUACCACUGCUUGAAAAUAUGUCAACGUCCUGUAGAUCAAGUAAGGUUCCAGUCGAAGUCCUCCUGAAGAAUUUGUUGGAUUUCUGCCAGUUUUUGAUAUUGAACU